rnacentral:lncRNA from 1 species
GAUUCCCAAUACUCUAGUAUUUGGUGUUUUCUUUGCUCAUUCUAAGUGCAUAUUUACUUUCAUACCAAAUUUUAUACUUGUAAAUUUUUUUCUUAAAGGGGACUCCCCUUGUCGUCUAGCCUCCGGGGCUUACAAAACCUGCUGCUGUUGCUGGCUAAGGCUGUGUGAUGCAAGUUGAGGGGCAGAGGAAGUUGAGGAGAGGCCCAGAUGGAGAGGAAGCUUAGCAGGAAGUGCACCAAGAUUGAGAGUGGUGACUGCUGACUCGAGGUUGGUGACACCAAUAUGGCUGUGGGGUUUUGUUUUUUUUAAAGCAAGAACCGGAGGCAGGCAAGAGGAAGGUGGGCGGGUGCAUCCUUCCUGCCUAAGAGUUUUACUGGGUAGAUGCAAGAGAGGUAGAAGAGGGAUGAGAAAAUUAAAGUUGUGCCUCUCAUUUUAUCCCCAGAUAACUACCAUUUUACAGCUGAAGAAACUGAGACUUGGGUCAAAUGAUUUUCUAAAAUACCACACUGUCCCUGACCCAGUUUAUCACCUGUGCAGAUUCACCUAGCCUUGCCUGCCUCCAGGGAUGUCACGUCUCACUCAGUGGAGAGACCGCUCUCCUGUGAGCCUUUAGGGGCAGAGGGUGCUGGUCUUUGGCAUGGCCUCCAUCAUACCUCUGAAGGAAGAGCUGCUCCCUUCUGAUGCUCAACCUGGCUUAGCAGCUGUACAGGAAGCAUGGUUGGGAGGCCUCAGAAAACUCACAAUCAUGGCAGAAGAUGAAGAGGAUGGGGGUAAGUGUGUAGCCCUUCUUCCUUUGCUCUCUCUCCUGCUCUAUCUUACCAGAUCUUGUGAGAACUCACUUACUAUCAUGAGAACAGCAAGCGGGAAAUCCACCCCCAUGAUCCAUCACCUCCCACAAGGUCCCUCCCCCAACACUCAAGAUUACAGUUCGAGAUGAGAUUUGGGUGGGGACACAGAGCCAAACCAUAUCAUUCUGCCCCUGGCCCCUCCAAAAUCUCAUGCCCUCCUCACAUGUCAAAACCCAUUAUGCCUUCUCCACAGUCCCCCAAAGUCUUAACUCAUUUCAGCAUUAACUCAAAAGUCCAAGUCCAAAGUCUCAUUUGAGACAAGGCAAGUCUCUUCCAUCUAUGAGCCCGUAAAAUAAAAGCAAGUGAGUUACUUCCAAGAUACAAUGCAGGUAUGGGCAUUGGGUAAAUGCUCCUGUUCCAAAAGGAAGAAAUUGGACCAAAAAAGAGGGCUACAGGCCCCAUGCAAGUCUGAAACCCAGCAGGGCAGUCGUUAAAUCUUAAAGGUCCGAAAUAAUCUCCUUUGACUCCAUGUUCCACAUCCAGGGCAUGCUGAUGCAAGAGGUGGGCUUCCAAGGCCUUGGGCAUGAGCACAAAUGGUCAAUCACUCACUCAACACAUAUAUAUUGAAUGCUUCUUUUGUGCCAGGGACUACAGGUGCAGCAGCAAACAAAAUAGUCAGAGCCCAUGUUCUUGUCACACAGUCUAGAAGGAACCCAACCAUAAACAAACAAAUGU